rnacentral:lncRNA from 1 species
AGUGAGCACUGUCUGGGCCAUUGCGAGGUAUCAUCACUGUGCCCAGCGCUGGACAAACCCAUGUGUAUCACAGACUCAUCACAGAAUUCUCUUGCCAACCUUUGCAGCGAGAGAUAGUAGCUAAAUGCUCAGAAUUAAAGAGCAACCCCCAAAACCUGGAAAAGAGUCUAAGUGAACAAAGCCUGCCUGGAAUGGAAGAGCUCUGAGUGAAGAGAGUCAGCACAGAGAAGCAAACAGAGGACCCUGUAAGGACUACUUAUCAAACUGUAAUCAACAACAACCAUUAACAACCAACAACCAACCAACCAACCAACCAACCAACCAACAAUCAACAACUCCACCUCUCAGGGCCCUUUUUUAUAUAUUCCCUGAAAACUUUCCAGAAUUCCAAACACCACACAAUCGCAUAAAACUGUCUUCAAGUGUCAGAAUCAUGCCCCCACCAGAGCUCAAGGAAAAUCAGUCAGCUGCUUCGUACACGCUGAAGCAGCCCCAUGUCCCACACCUGGGAAUAAAAUGAAAGCACGUUC